UACGAAGGGGGCUAGCGUUGCUCGGAAUCACUGGGCGUAAAGCGCACGUAGGCGGAUUCUUAAGUCAGGGGUGAAAUCCUGGAGCUCAACUCCAGAACUGCCUUUGAUACUGGGGAUCUCGAGUCCGGAAGAGGUGAGUGGAACUCCGAGUGUAGAGGUGAAAUUCGUAGAUAUUCGGAAGAACACCAGUGGCGAAGGCGGCUCACUGGUCCGGUACUGACGCUGAGGUGCGAAAGCGUGGGGAGCAAACAGG
rnacentral:rRNA from 1 species